rnacentral:misc_RNA from 1 species
CAUCAUCAAUAUGAGGCUGCUCCCAUUCAGUAUCAUCUUCAAAAAGCUCCCAAGGACUGUGUUGAUGUGUUUCUCUGGGGUCGCUCCUGUAUUGAAUAGUAUACCUCUCCCAUGGACUGUCUGGAAACUCAGAAGAUUUUGGCUUUACAGACAGAAUCCGGCCAGCCCACCAACUGCCAUCUUCUUCACCAUCAUUUUUCCACCACACUUUACAUUUAUCCCUGCAAGUCCAAUUUCUUUGCAUAGCAGCAUCAAACUGAGUUCUUUCAACAAGAAAAUCUGGGAAUCCUGUCAUUUCAGGCAGAGUUAAGUUAAAUGAUUUCUGGAACACAUUAGAAGUAGGAUCUACAAACUUAAGUCUCAUUUUGCAGCAACUAUCUCCAGAUCCUGGUACUGUUGAAUAUUCGAGGCCCUCAACUUUACAGAAUUCUACAGCCCUUAUUUUCCCCUUUAACAACUUCCAAGGGCCUGGAUCUUUUGAUU